AAUUAACGCUGGCGGCAUGCGUAACACAUGCAAGUCGUACGAGAAAGCCCGGUUCGCCGGGCGAGUAAAGUGGCGCACGGGUGAGUAACGCGUGGGUAAUCUACCCCGGUCUGGGGGAUAACGCACCGAAAGGUACGCUAAUACCGCAUGAGACGACGGGUCCCUGGACCCAUCGGUGAAGGGGGCCUCUGAAUGCACGCUACCGAAGUGGGAUGAGGCCGCCUCCUAUUAACUUGUUGGUGGGGCAAUGGCCGACCACGGAGGACAUGGGGACUCUGCUGUGAUAGGAGGGCCCGCAACAGGGGUACUGAUGACUGGAUUCAGACACACUACCGGGACGGCGGCCACGGUAGGGUAUCGCGUCCGUCGUCGGGGCGUCAUUGUACACAGGCUGUGGCUGGCCCGCGGUGGAGUGACAGACAGGCCGGACACAUGGGGGGCCCGCUCGAGGCGCCCACGCGAUAUUCACCCCCUGCACGGGUAGACGACCCUAGCCAGGGUAAGAGGAGCACGAACACGCUGUGUGCAAUGGCCCGGGUGCGCACGGUUCGAGUUUCGCCCCAUCAGAUAAAGCUGCCGCGUCUCCCAUACCGAUUUUGGGCCGCGCGCCACUCGCUCACAUUCUGCGGAUCGUGCGGCUGAUGACCUCUGUCCGUCAUCGAGUCCCGGAGGAGCAGUACCGGAGUAGCGACGUGAAGCGUAGCCACUCGAUGUACCACGUGAAUAUCGGCGCUCCACCCGGUUGUAUCUGUCGGACCGCGCGUAGAGAGAUAGGCGAUAUGGCGGGGCCUACACCUGCGAGGCACACACGACACGAAAAUGAGUCGGGCGUGGCGGGAGUACUCCACUCAACUCCGCGAGGAUGGGUGCUCUCUUCACCCCUACUACGCUUAUUACGGGCAGGCGCCGCGGGCGUUGUAUCCUGCCCCAAUUUUUCGCACUUAUCAAUGUAUACGCGCGUUGAUACGCCGCUGCAGUUGGCACAUGAUCACAAACGGGUCCUGGAGGGUGCGUGUCUGUGUCGCCCGGCACGCCUUUUUAUGGAGCGGUAUAUGAAGGCCUAGACGCGCUGCUUCAUUAUAAUCGUUGCCGGCUAGUGCAUUAUUGUCGCCGCAGUAGAGCGCGG
rnacentral:rRNA from 1 species